rnacentral:rRNA from 1 species
GAUGAACGCUGGCGGCGUGCCUAAUACAUGCAAGUCGAGCGAACGGACGAGAAGCUUGCUUCUCUGAUGUUAGCGGCGGACGGGUGAGUAACACGUGGAUAACCUACCUAUAAGACUGGGAUAACUUCGGGAAACCGUAGCUAAUACCGGAUAAUCUUUUGAACCGCAUGGUUCAAAAGUGAAAGACGGUCUUGCUGUCACUUCUCGAUGGAUCCGCGCUGCAUUAGCUAGUUGGUAAGGUAACGGCUUACCAAGGCAACGAUGCAUAGCCGACCUGAGAGGGUGAUCGGCCACACUGGAACUGAGACACGGUCCAGACUCCUACGGGAGGCAGCAGUAGGGAAUCGUCCGCAAUGGGCGAAAGCCUGACGGAGCAACGCCGCGUGAGUGAUGAAGGUCUUCGGAUCGUAAAACUGUGUUAUUAGGGAAGAACAUAUGUGUAAGUAACUGUGCACAUCGUGACGGUACCGAAUCAGAAAGCCACGGCUAACUACGUG